AUGCAAAGGUUGGGAUCUGGGAAAAGGGAGUUACUUGAUCUUUUUCCGAACUACCGCAAUCUUAAAUGCGGGGAUGUUGGUAAGAACAUAUGGACGGGAACACGUUUCUUACGAGACAUUGGCAUGAGCCAUGAUGAUGUGAACAAGUUUUGGGAUUCUCAUGGAUGGAUAUUCGGCGCUGCCCCCAUGAAGGCUGCGAGCACCAUUCUUGGGCAACUCAAUGUGGGGAAGGCAAGGUUGCGAAGGAUCGUAAUGGAGGAACCACGUCAGUUGAUGAAUUAUAAGAUUGGCUCAAAGGUCAGCAGAUUACCAAGAUGUAAACCUGAACCCUGUGCCAAGGAGAAGAGGGAAUUCUUAAGACGCAUAGGAUUUGUUGAAGGCUCGGAAGAUAUGGAGAAGGCACUCAAAGCUAUCCGUGGAAAAGGCGCCAACCUGCAAGAUAAAUACAACAAUUUAGUGGAAGAAGGGCUGGACCCAAAAGAUGUAAUUUACAUGGUGAAGAUGGCUCCUCGGAUUCUGAAUCAGAAGACGGACGCCAUUGCUUAUAAGAUAUCCUUCCUUGUGCAUGUGGCGGGCUAUCCCCUGAGUGCUGUGGCUGCUUUCCCACGGUACCUAGAGUUCACUGUGCACAUAAGCAAACUUAAGAUGUUGAUGUACAGUUGGAUGCUACAAAGGGGGCUGGCUGCACCCCAACUUACUCUAAGCACAGUCCUAUCUUCCUCAGAAACAGAAUUCACCAAGGCUCAUGUAUAUAGGGUUCCCAAGGGUCGUGAAGUUUGGUGGAAGUUCAAGCAGCAGGGAGGUAGCUUCGGCCAAGAGGAGAUCAGAUGGCUGCGACGCAGGGUGCACCUUGGACGAUAA
rnacentral:rRNA from 1 species